AACACUGUUAACCUGCGGUACCUGCGGAAGGAUCAUUACUGAAUAAACUUGGUCAAGCUGUUGCUGGUCCUUCGGGACAUGUGCACGCUUGCCACCAAUUUUAACCACCUGUGCACUUUUUGUAGACUUGGAAACGUUUCUCGAGGCAACUCGGAUUGAGAACUGCUGGCGCAAGUCGGCUUUUCUUAUGUUUUCUCAGUCUAUGUUUUCAUAUACACCUAAUGUAUGUAUCAGAAUGUA
rnacentral:misc_RNA from 1 species